rnacentral:lncRNA from 1 species
ACGUGGUUAAAAGAAACAAACGUGUAAUAAAUAUAAUGCUUUGUGAUUCAACACAAGGCCAAAAAGGGUCAAGUAAUGUUAGUUAACAGCUUCUGUUUUGCCCAAUUGCCUUUAGACGAUCUACUCAUGCAGCAUAAAGAUGGCAGAUUUCACUCCAAUAUUCAUCAAACGUUAUGUGGACUCGUUGUACUUCAAGGUGAACACCCAUAUGCCCAAGAGGUCCUGCAAGUAGCCAAGAGAGAGCUGGAUGUGAAAGAGUCUCAUGGUCAGGCACAAGGGAUGAGUCAGCAGCCACCUGGUGAACCAGUAACUGAAGAGCAGAUGGCAAGGUGGACACCUCGGGGGAGGCCAGCAUGGAUGGUGAGUGAUCCUGAGGACCAGAUGUCCCCUCCAAUACGUGGCACUGUGGAAGUCUCCAAAAUUUAGAUGCAAUCCAGGGGAAAGUGGAAGGGGAAAAGCCAGAUUAAUUGAAAUUAAAUUCCUGCAGCCCCAGAGGAAUGGAGGCUUGAAAAGAAAAGAAAAAGGGAAACAAAACAUGUUUCUGACACAUGUAAAUAUGUGCAAGGAAAUUGAUACCUAUUACACAUGUGAACCAAGAAACAGGUUUCUACUGACUUUCAAGGAGAGGCAAACAGAUAUAACUAGUGUUGUGAUUUCAGAAACAAUGACAGCCUCAUUUUCUCCCUUCUGUGCUUGAUUGUGAAUUUCCACCAUUAUAAUGUUUGUCCCCCCUUGGAUUUAGAAAUGUCCUCUUAAAACACACAUGCUAUUGAGAGAUGUUCACCUCACUAGUCGUUUAGCCCUUAAUGUGCAUCAGUUGAUCCUCUGUUUUUCU